rfam:Clostridium ultunense Esp genomic scaffold, CTLT_3033
UAAGACCCCUUGAAGAAGACGAGGUAGAUCGGUCCGGGGUGGAAGUGCAGCAAUGCAUGGAGCUGACGGAUACGAAUCGGUCGA